CCUACGGGAGGCAGCAGUGAGGAAUAUUGGUCAAUGGACGAGAGUCUGAACCAGCCAAGUAGCGUGAAGGAUGACUGCCCUCUGGGUUGUAAACUUCUUUUAUAAAGGAAUAAAACGAGGCACGUGUGCCUUUUUGCAUGUACUUUAUGAAUAAGGAUCGGCUAACUCCGUGCCAGCAGCCGCGGUAAUACGGAGGAUCCGAGCGUUAUCCGGAUUUAUUGGGUUUAAAGGGAGCGUAGAUGGGUUGUUAAGUCAGAUGUGAAAGUUUGCGGCUCAACCGUAGAAUUGCAAUUGAUACUGGCAGACUUGAGUACAGUUGAGGUAGGCGGAAUUCGUGGUGUAGCGGUGAAAUGCUUAGAUAUCACGAAGAACCCCGAUUGCGAAGGCAGCUUACUAAACUGUGACUGACAUUGAUGCUCGAAAGUGUGGGUAUCAAACAGGAUUAGAUACCCCAGUAGUC
rnacentral:rRNA from 1 species